UGGGGAAUAUUGGACAAUGGGCGAAAGCCUGAUGGAGCAACGCCGCGUGUGUGAUGAAGGGUUUCGGCUCGUAAAACACUGUUGUAAGAGAAGAAUGACAUUGAGAGUAACUGUUCAAUGUGUGACGGUAUCUUACCAGAAAGGAACGGCUAAAUACGUGCCAG
rnacentral:rRNA from 1 species